rnacentral:rRNA from 1 species
GACGAACGCUGGCGGCGUGCUUAACACAUGCAAGUCGAACGAUGAAGCCAGCUUGCUGGUGGAUUAGUGGCGAACGGGUGAGUAACACGUGGGUGAUCUGCCCCAAACUUUGGGAUAAGCCUGGGAAACUGGGUCUAAUACCGAAUAUUACCUUCUCCUGCAUGGGGGUUGGUGGAAAGCUCCGGCGGUUUGGGAUGGGCCCGCGGCCUAUCAGCUUGUUGGUGGGGUAAUGGCCUACCAAGGCGACGACGGGUAGCCGGCCUGAGAGGGCGACCGGCCACACUGGGACUGAGACACGGCCCAGACUCCUACGGGAGGCAGCAGUGGGGAAUAUUGCACAAUGGGCGCAAGCCUGAUGCAGCGACGCCGCGUGAGGGAUGACGGCCUUCGGGUUGUAAACCUCUUUCACCAGGGACGAAGCGUGAGUGACGGUACCUGGAGAAGAAGCACCGGCCAACUACGUGCCAGCCGCCGCCGUAACAC